CAGUUCUUUACGACGAACCUCACACGGAUAAGGAGGAGGAGGAGGUGAGCGAAGACGAACUCACACAGGAGGAACUGAACACGAGGAUCUUGCAGCUGUGUCACCAGCAGUGGAAGCAACAUUGCAGGGAGAACAGAGAAAGAAGUCUCCCGAGUUUCCACAAGAUCAUGGACAUGCUGACUAAGACCUUCCACGAAGAGGACGAAGUUCAAAUCAACGAAACGGUUUCAUAUUCUCAAGGACAAAAUUUAGACGAGGGAAGAGUAAUGUAUUGAUCUGUAUUUGUGUCAAAGUAAUUGGCAUGUUCAUGUUUCUGGCAAACAAUGUUUUGUGCAGUGUAAUUUUUAAAAGAAAUGAAUGUUUGCAUCGAAUUAUAGCUGACUGAUUAUCUAUAGGCAUAAGCGAGGAAGACGCUGAACUCUUGAAGAAUAUUCACGAUUGUUAUGUCGAUUACCCAUGGCGAAUACGAGAAGUGCCUCUUGUCCAAACGUUGAUGAUUGUUAGCGAGUUUUAGUGACCGAUCAAGACUGGAGAAGUUCUUCCGCCAUCUUGUCACUUCCUGUAAAUUUCUUAUGUUACGGUGAUCGAUAAAAAAAAAAAAAAUAAUAAUAAAAGAAAUUACAUACACGCACAUGCACAAAUACACAUAUGCAAAGAGAGAGAUGGACAGAUAAAAUUAUUUGAUUCAUACCAUAUGCAUACUUAUGUAUACAUACUUGUAUAUUUAAACACAUAUAUAUGAAAAUGAAAUUAUAUAUAUAUAUAUAUAUAUAUAUAUAUAUAUAUAUAUAUAUAUAUAUAUAUAUAUAUAUAUAUAUAUACGUGUGUGUGUGUGUGUUUAUUCAUCUACGUCCAUGCACGGGCGCAUGUUAAUUUUUAAAAAAUAAAUAGAGGUGUUUUACGGUGAGUCACCGCUUGUUAUAUUCACCACUUGGAGAUCCUUCACUUGAUAGCCAGCCACUACUAUCUGCUGAUUAAGUAAUGAUACUCUAUAUUUGUCUUCCAGUUUGUGAACUUGUUUAUCGUUUUAUCUCUCUCUCUUAAAAGUGGGAUAUGAAUACUAGUUCAUUAGGUUUCCUUCUUUACAAGAGUACUUAAGUAAUGACAAUGUUGAUACACUCACAUACUAGUACACAUUCACGCCCGACUCUUCACGAACCGAGUUUUCUGGACAGACUCUUAGCCCCAAGCUGUCAUUUGCAUACGUCGGUCUAACAGGUCAGCACAUCUGACCUGGUCCUGGGCAUGGUGAUCGCGUGAUUGUCACACAAAAGUGAUCACGUGCUUGCAUGGACAUGCCCUCGUGCACACACAUACACACACACACACACACACACGCACACACACACACACACACAUCCAUACACGGAUAUUUCCACUGCUUCUUGAGGAUAUAUUAUAUACUUGUUGCAUUGGUGAUUGAGGGCUCUUAGUACCACCAGCUAUAGAGACGAUAGUGUGUCUAGUUGCCUCCGUGUUUUUUUAAUGCCUGUAAAAAUCCAUGACGCCCCCAACGCAGUAGAUAUAUCUUCUGGUCACUUGAGGUGGUAAUUGAAAUUUCUCGAUUCUUCAGACCCGAGUUUGGCCAUCUAACCAGUUUUUUUAAUUUAAUUAAAUCAAGUUUCAAAAAGGGGGCUAUCACAAACUAUGCAAUCUACACUUCAAUGUUGUCUAAAUUGGCGUGUGUAGACAAACAAAAACUGAAGAAGUAACAGCGAAUGAGGCAGGCCUUAGUUAACAGUGCAAGCGUGGUUUUAGAUCUUUACAAUAAUGCUGGGAUUAGCUGCCGAAACCUUCUCGGAAAUGAUGUUGACCUUUACUCCGUCAAUUGGACAUAAAUAUAGAAAUUCCAUUACGAGAUGUCCAUGUAACCCAAGGUCAGGGUCUGAUUCAAUCCGGCGUGCAAGCGUGUACACACCUCGCAUCGUGGGUAAAGAAAACGGUUGAACGGUCAGCUAUUUUUCGGUUCAUUCGAAAUUUCAAGUGCGAUCCUGCAGCUUGGUAAAUAUUAUCCGCUUCUUAUGCGUUUUGGUGUGUGAAUUAAACUGUACUUUUUUUCUUUAUUUUUCAUAUUAACAUUGUCUUAUAAUACUUGUAUUAGAAAACAAGACUUCUUAAAUCUUUGAUAUCCUUAAUUUACAUACAGAUUAUUAACGAUUUUAGACGAGGUAAAGUUUUCACAAGCAGGUUAAUGGCACCAUGUAUUCUCACUGUAAUUACACGGCUUAGCCAUAAACCCACAGAAUUCUUCUCCAAAUAACCAUUAUCUCAGUUUCCAUUUCCUUUCUAUGGCUUAUAUGACAUUCCAGAACAAUCUU
rnacentral:lncRNA from 1 species